UACAGAGGUCUCAAGCGUUGUUCGGAUUCAUUGGGCGUAAAGGGUGCGUAGGCGGCGCGGUAAGUCGGGUGUGAAAUCUCGGAGCUUAACUCCGAAACUGCAUUCGAUACUGCCGUGCUUGAGGACUGGAGAGGAGAGUGGAAUUCCCAGUGUAGAGGUGAAAUUCGUAGAUAUUGGGAAGAACACCGGUGGCGAAGGCGGCUCUCUGGACAGUUCCUGACGCUGAGGCACGAAGGCCAGGGGAGCAAACGGG
rnacentral:rRNA from 1 species